rnacentral:lncRNA from 1 species
AAGUAUUCAGUAUUGACCAGGAUUGACAUAAUAUCAAGUGAAUAUGGAGGCUCAUGUUAAAGGAGACCGACUGGAGGUAAAACCAUCCAACGUUUACUUCAGCCAAGAAUAUAUAGAGAAUCGAUUCGAAGAUAGAGAAUUGAUUGGUGAUAAACUUGAUAAGUUGGUUGAUGGUGUAGAGAAGAUUUCUGAUGUGAGAACAAUACGCGUGAGAUAUGUACAUGGAAGAUAGUAUACAUUAAAUAACAGAAGACUGUGGGUGUUCAGAAAUUAUGAGAAAAUAAGACUGCAGUCGUACAAGCAAACAGUUAUACCAGUCUUAGUAUGGGACGACUUUGAAUCGCAGAAUCAACUUAUAUUUGCUGCAAACAACACUGGGAAUGAUGUUAGAAUACAUAACGAUCUUCUUCCAGGUGGUCAAAAAUACAACACGCCUUGCUGUGUACGAUUACACCAAAUUUACUUUGAAUUAUAAGCAUUAAUGACUAACUUGCAUAUCACCUAGCACAUAAUUGGUUUUUUUAUUCGAUGAAUAAA